rnacentral:lncRNA from 1 species
AUGGUGGCAGUGUCAGGGUCUGCUACGGUCACCUUCCAGUCAAUGGUCAGGCAUCACCGACCCCUCUGGGGGGAGGGGAUCCCCUCAGCUCCCGUCGCAGCUCUUCACACCAGCCUCCCGAACUGUCCUCUCUGCCCCUGCCGACUCCACCCCGGGAGCCUGGUCAGCCUUCGGCAGCCUCCCGCACGGACUCCACGCCUCUACCAGCUCCCUCAAACGGUUCCAGGGGCAUCAGUCCUCAGCCAGCACGGCGGGCACGCUCUCAAGGAAAGGCCCAGAGCUCUUGCCACCGCCCUGCUCCCGACCCUGAGACCUCCCCUCUACAAGGCCCAGGCCUCACCCCAGGCCCAGCCCCGAGUCCUUACGUGCCCGCCCUCUCCGAGGGGGUGGGUCUGCGCGGCCGAGGUCUGCGGAGGGACGGGGGAGGAGGCCCCAGGAGGACACAAGCUGGAGGCCGGGGGCACUCAGGGGUUCGGCGGGGGGCGGGGCACACGGGAACGGCGGUCAGAGGGGGGGGGUACGCGGGCGUCCGAAGAUAGAGGGAGGAGCAGGCCCGCCACAGAUGGAGGGGCCACAGGGGAACCGGAGGCCUCCACCGCAGCUGGAGAAGGCCCAAGGGGCCGGCACCUCUCUCCGGAACUUCCGCUACGGCCGGCCCCGCUCCGCCGGUUCCGCUUCCGGUCUGCGCUGCGCCUGCGUUCUGGUCUCCAUUGGGGGGGGCGGGGGCGGCCUCGGGGUCCCCAGCGCAUAAGCGGGUCUAUCGCCGCUACCGCCCCGCGGGCCCUUCCGGGCGUCGGCCUCCGGGAUCUUCCGAAGCACAGACCUGAACUUGGGGUUUGUCGGCCCGAUUCCCCUUCGGACCUGCGUCCUUCCCGCGGCGCGAUACCGCUUCGGCCCGGGCCACUUCCCCGCGCGGGGUUGCAGGGCUGUGGCGGGGCGGGGCGGACCCAGGACAGGGUGAGUGGGCGGGAGGGAGGCGCUGCUCCGCCGCGUGCCCCCGAGGGGUGGACGGCCGAGAGAAUCACACUGCAGGCGGGGGCCGGCCCCUCCAGGUUUAUUAGUGUUGCAUCAGCACCUUAA